GACGAACGCCGUCGGCAUGCCUAACACAUGCAAGUCGAACGGAGAUAGCAAUAUCUUAGUGGCGGACGGGUGAGUAAUGGAUGAGUAAUCUGCCUCAUACACUGGGAUAACACAGAGAAAUUUGUGCUAAUACCGGAUGAGACCACACUACCGCAUGGUAGAGGGGUCAAAGGGCUUUACUGGUAUGAGAUGAGCUCAUCUCCCAUUAGCUAGUUGGUAAGAUAACAGCCUACCAAGGCGACGAUGGGUAGCCGGCCUGAGAGGGUGAACGGCCACAUUGGAACUUAGACACGGUCCAAACUCCUACGGGAGGCAGCAGUGGGGAAUAUUGGGCAAUGGGCGAAAGCCUGACCCAGCAAUGCCGCGUGAGUGAAGAAGGUCUUCGGAUUGUAAAGCUCUUUGAUUAGGGACGAAAAAAUGACUGUACCUAAAGAACAAGCCCCGGCUAACUACGUGCCAGCAGCCGCGGUAAUACGUAGGGGGCAAGCGUUGUCCGGAAUUAUUGGGCGUAAAGGGUGCGUAGGUGGUUUAGCAAGUUGGAAGUGAAAUACCCAGGGCUUAACUCGGGUGCUGCUUUCAAAACUACUAGACUUGAGUGUGGGAGAGAAUAGUGGAAUUCCUAGUGUAGCGGUGGAAUGCGUAGAUAUUAGGAGGAACACCAGUGGCGAAGGCGACUAUUUGGCCCAUAACUGACACUGAGGCACGAAAGCGUGGGGAGCAAACAGG
rnacentral:rRNA from 1 species